UGGAGGCAAAUCCGAGUCUCGC
rnacentral:piRNA from 1 species